GGCCGGGUCCUAUGCAAUGUUGGACAGGUUGACCUCGUCAGAUCCGGAAGGAAGCAGCGAACACCUAAUCCUCAUGUGCCGUAGGGUGCCUGGCCACU
rfam:Opitutaceae bacterium BACL24 MAG-120322-bin51 contig00641_1_120322-bin51, whole genome shotgun sequence.